GGGUGCGAUCAUACCAGCACUAAUGCACCGGAUCCCAUCAGAACUCCGAAGUUAAACGUGCUUGGGCGAGAGUAGUACUAAGAUGGGUGACCUCUUGGGAAGUCCUCGUGUUGCACCCU
rnacentral:rRNA from 1 species